rnacentral:rRNA from 1 species
CCUACGGGUGGCAGCAGUAGGGAAUAUUUCUCAAUGGGGGAAACCCUGAAGCAGCAACGCCGCGUGGAGGAUGGAGGGUUUCGGAUUUUAAACUCCUUGUGUUAUAGAAGAAAAUGACGGUAUCUAACGAAUAAGCACCGGCUAACUCCGAGCCAGCAGCCGCGAUAAUACGGAGGGUGCAAGCGUUACUCGGAAUCACUGGGCGUAAAGAGCGCGCAGGCGGGAUAGCAAGUCAGAUGUGAAAUCCUAUGGCUUAACCAUAGAACUGCAUUUGAAACUGUUAGUCUAGAGUAUGGGAGAGGUAAGUGGAAUUCUUGGUGUAGGGGUAAAAUCCGUAGAGAUCAAGAGGAAUACUCAUUGCGAAGGCGAGCUGCUAGAACAUAACUGACGCUGAUGCGCGAAAGCGUGGGGAGCAAACAGGAUUAGAUACCCUUGUAGUC